rnacentral:rRNA from 1 species
AACGAACGCUGGCGGCGUGCCUAACACAUGCAAGUCGAGCGAGAAAGUCCGCAAGGAUGAGUACAGCGGCGCACGGGUGCGUAACACGUGGGUAAUCUGCCCUGGAGCCCGGAAUAACCUCCCGAAAGGGAAGCUAAUGCCGGAUAAGACCACGGGAGCUCCGGCUCCUGCGGGAAAAGGUGGCCUCUGUACACAAGCUAUCACUCCUGGAUGAGCCCGGGGCCCAUCAGCUAGUUGGCGGGGUAACGGCCCACCAAGGCUACGACGGGUAGCUGGUCUGAGAGGACGAUCAGCCACACUGGAACUGAGACACGGUCCAGACUCCUACGGGAGGCAGCAGUGGGGAAUCUUGCGCAAUGGGCGAAAGCCUGACGCAGCAACGCCGCGUGUGUGAUGAAGGUCUUCGGAUCGUAAAGCACUGUCGGGAGGAAAGAACAAGCCUGUGGCUAACAUCCACGGGCCUCGACGGUACCUCCAAAGGAAGCACCGGCUAACUCUGUGCCAGCAGCCGCGGUAACAC